rnacentral:rRNA from 1 species
GACAGAGGGGGCAAGCGUUGCUCGGAAUUACUGGGCGUAAAGGGCGCGUAGGCGGGAUGGCAAGUCGGUCGUGAAAUCCCUCGGCUCAACUGAGGAACUGCACGGGAAACUGCCUGGCUUGAGUUCGGGAGAGGGAAGCGGAAUUCCGGGUGUAGCGGUGAAAUGCGUAGAUAUCCGGAGGAACACCGGUGGCGAAGGCGGCUUCCUGGACCGACACUGACGCUGAGGCGCGAAAGCUAGGGGAGCAAACGGG